AGUGAACGCUGGCGGCAUGCCUAAUACAUGCAAGUCGAACGGCAGCACAGUAAGAUCUUGCUCUUACGGUUGGCGAGUGGCGGACGGGUGAGGAAUACAUCGGAAUCUACUUUUUCUGGGGGGAUAACGGAGGGACACUUACGCUAAUACCGCAUACUAUCUACGGCUGAAAUCAGGGGAUCUUCGGACCUUUCGCGUCUGAAUUAGCCGAUGCCGGAUUAGCUAGUUGGCGGGGUAAAGUCCCACCAAGGCGACGUUCCGUAGCUUGUCUGAGAGGAUGACGGGCAAAACGGAAACUGAGACACGGCCCAGACUCCAAGGGGAGGCAGCGGAGGGGAAUAUUGGACAAGGGGGGCAAGCCUGAGGCAGACAGACGGGGUGGGUGAAGAGGGCUUCCGAGUGGUAAAGCCCUUUUGUUGGGAAAGAAAAGCAGGAAGUUAAUACCCCGCUGUUCGGACGGUACCAAAAGAAUAAGCACGGGCUAACUUCGU
rnacentral:rRNA from 1 species